UUUCGUUCUGGAUAGAAAUGACACGUACUUGAAACUACACAGCAGUUUAGUGAAGAAUAUACGACAUCAUGAAGUUAUUCUAACGUACAUCAAUGAUCUGGAAAUCGUGCUGAGCGCAUCUGUCUAUGUCCUGUUGCUUACGAAUGCACUAAAUAUUUGUUUGCAUUCUUUUGGAAUUGUAGCGCUGUUCCAGGAGGGAGCAACAAGCUCGACCGUAUUUAAGGAAGUGAUCUCGUUUGCAUCUUUCCUGGCUCAGACAGGCUUAUUCUGCUUCAUCGGACAGCUAAUAAUCGAUCAGG